AAUACAUUUCACUGUUGAAAUUUCAUAUAGCAAGUUUUUCAUAAUAUAUAAUUUGUACAAUAAUUUAUCAUUUAUAUUUAUACAAUUUAUACUUAGGAAGAAAGUACUUCAAAAGCUUAUUUUUGUAAUCACGGGCUAUCUAAAUGGUACUUUGUUUGGAGCCCUUAAUUAUAGGGAGACACUGUGUUGUAGGGUUCUACAUGGAACCUUCACAGAUUCCACCAGAACCAAAGCACUUUUACAGGUUUUAGAUCUGAAUCUUUUCAGAUGUUGAUUAGACCAUUUUCAUGAAUAAUGCACAUAAAAAUUCAUCCUUAGUUCGUUUAUUUAUAAUAGGUUACAUAUUUUAAAAUUUUACAAGCUUAUCGUAGUCUAAUGAUUUUCGAACGUUAUAAAUAUAGAAAACCUAAAAAAAACAAAAACAAAAACAAAAAAACAUUGAAGGUGUAAAUGAGGACUUAAAAUGUUUGAUUUGAACAGAUUAUAAGUAAAGUUGAAUAAUAUUACAAGCGUAAAUUCACGUGUAAAAGCCUCAUCAGCGCCGAGAUUUCAAUGCAAUUAGCGCAAUCUGGUGGAAACUCUCCCUAUCUGGCAACCCAGAUACUAAGAGACUGGAGCUAUGCGCUUGAACUUGACCGAGUGGAACUUCAGGGGUAAAGCGAUGGUAUUUACCCCCCACCUCACCCCACCCCCGUCUUCUCUUUUAUUCGGGAUAAGUCUUUAAGACUUGAUGUGAGUGCUCAUUUCCAUAACAUGUUGCCUAGCGCCAAUUAAAGCUCAGUGCACGACUUUUCUCCUGGAGCGACAGCUUGGUGAUGCUGAAAGCGCACUGAGGGUGAGUAUCCAAAUAUCCAAACCUAGUCUGCUCAACGCUAAGCAAAUAGUUUGUGAUGGGGUAUUUACCACGAGAUUCGAUUUUUUAAAAAUCUUGCUGUUAUUUUAUAUUAGCCUACCAAUCAAUGUCUUAUACAGGUUUUAUCUGUUUGUCUAUCUAUUUCUAUAAAAAGAAAGAAAGAAAUCAAAUUAGAAUUAGAAAUGUUUCAAGACUAACCUGGUUACUUCAAACAACAAAUUUGUUUUGUUUGCUUGUUUGUUUGUUUGUUUAUAGGCCCGUUGCAGACUGUAAUUUCCUUCAUUUCAGUUCUCCAACUGUCAAAAAUGCACAAUCUGAAAUACUGAAAAUAUGAGAUAAUAUAAUUAAUCUGAAUAAGUCCUAUCAAAUGUAUUUUUUUAUAAGUAAGAAGCAAAUUGAGGAAAAAAAUAGGAUGAUGGGUGUAGUUUUUCAGUAAUUCCAAAAAAAAAAAAAAUCUUGUGUUUUCAUUUGCCUUGUAACACGAGACAGAGGAAGUAACAUGUACAUGGAUGCCCAACUCUUAAUGUUUAUUGAACAUAUUACCUUGAAUGCAUGCUGAUGUUCAACAGCAGAAUGCUCAGACUGCCUUGAAGAGAGGCUCAUUUUUAAAAACAUUUUUCAAAGCAACAGUACCAAAGAGUGUAAGAAAGAUUAAAAUAGUCACUAUGAUACUGUAUACUCUUAAAAAAUGCAAUUGCUACAAACAACAAACGACUCGAUAUCUGUCUCAGUAACUCUUAUAAAUAUUAAUGGGAUUUAAAACUCUGCUACAUCCUUGGGAUCACUCAGAGGGUUUACCCAGCGUUUUAAGUAACACCUGUUGCAUAGUGCUUGCUGCUUUACACUGUGAAUUCACGCUUGAUGCUAAUUCUGGUCAUAUUUGCUGGUCUGGUGAUAGGCCUAUCUGAAAGGUAAAACUGAAAAUAUGUUGGCUAUGCUCUUUUGAUGAUUGAUUUCAUGACCUAGAGCAAGCAGCAGCCAGUCAGAAAUGUAGGAGGUCACGUUCAUUUGUAUUAGAAUGCUAUUAUUAUCACUGAAUUUGAUUAUAGAGAAAGUCAAGUGCUUUUGUAUCCACUUGAAACUUCUUAUAAAUAACUGAUGUGUUAUUGGUGAAUAAUUAGAUUAUGUACUACCUAAACUACAAAAACAGAAAAUUAUGCAGAGUUAUAUUAAAACUUAAAGUGUAGGCUAUAUCUAAGUCGUCCGUAGUACACUGUUGCAGAGAUUCUUGAAAUAUGAAUAGUUAAAAAAAAUCAUUUCAAUAAAGUUAUAACAUACUGUUGAAAAUAGAGAUGAAUUAACUCUUACUGUAUUCAGUUGUCCCCAGUUGGACUGUAAGCUUUAAUACAACACUGUGUGUUUUUCUGUAUACACUAAAUUAGCUGUAUUACUAACCUUUAGAAGAAACAUGCAGCGUUAUAUUACAUGGAUAUAGUGUAGUAUAUGUAGUAACAGUGCAGUCUUUCUGUGCGGCUUCAAAUUUGGACGCCUUUCGUUUAUCAGGUGUAUACAGGAAGACAAAUGGAUACCACUGCUGCCCUAAAGAGAAAUGAUAUUAGCGCAAAUGGUUAAAAUCAGUUGGUCAAGUGAUGGGAUAUAUUUGUACUGUUUGGGUGCAUUACAACGAAUUCAUUUGAAAUGUGGUUGAUAUAAAUGUGCAAGACCAGGUUUCUGACCAACUGACCAUAAGAUAGUAAUAUAAGAAACAAGAGCUCCCAACGCGUUACAGCAUGGCAUGACAUGUGGAUAAUACUUUUAAUGUUUGGAAGUCUUAGCAGCUCAUCAUUUGUGACACUAUGUAAGUAACGACAAGCCAUAUUUCUUGCAUAUGCUUCCAAUAAAGCACGUGUCAUUAUUUCACUAUAGCAAUAUUCACUACAUUAUACAGUCCAUAAUCAACGGAAAUAACGGCUCUGUUAUAGGAUUAUUAUAGCGUAUUGCUGUAAUAAUAGCUAUUAUGCCUAUUAUGGCAAUGGCAUGUGAACAGUUAUUAGUGUUACAAAUACUGCGUGUGUUUACCUCAAAAUUGUUACAAUACAUUACCUGACAUUGCAACUAGCAUAUAUUAUAAAGAACUAUCUUUUAACCUGUUUUCUUAUUGGCAAAUUGAAAGUGUCAGAGAUUCCACGAGAUUUUUUUUUAGAGCAUUUGCAGUUUUGCACGUCUCUCCUUGACCCUCUUUUACGCUUACAUAUCAACUUCAAAUCUUUUAAUCUUUUGAAACGUAUUUUUCAUCGUGUGCGCUAUUUUCAUUCAUUUCCUUUUUAAAUUUAGGCUAUUAGUUUCAUUUCCAUAUUUCCCAAAUAAGCAAUAUCAGAUUUAUUUGUGUAUUUAUUUAUUUGACACCAGAGGUGCGAAAUGUCCAAGAAUACAGUUAUUCGUUUCAUUUUCAUGUUUAUGUGAAACAUUCAUUUAAAUACUCAGGCCAACUUCUCAUCUCCUUUAUUUAUUUAAUUUUUUAACAAUUGGUCCACAUCUAAAUGUCUGCACAAGUACCCCCAAAACUGAAGAAGGAGGUAAAUGGGAAGAUUCCUGCAGACGUAGUUCACGUGGUUGCCAGAUAGGUCUUUUAUCUUCUGGUUCAGAAGAUAUAGGCUUUUAUCUUCUGGUUCAGCUUAAACUGUGAGGAAACAUUCAUGUGUCAGAUUGUGGUGGACAUAUUGUUUUCCCUCAUUUUGGAAUUGAAUAUGACUUAUAAAUUGUUUAUCUUACAUCUGCUUAAUUCGCACAAGCUGUAGGAUGUGUAAUAAUUUCGGAGGUUUUUCGUAAAUUUUGAUGGAGUUUAAAUGAUUGCUAGAAUUGUAUCAUCAAAACAAUCUGCUAAUGUUCUAUACUGUGGGACCUAAAACGCGACAAAACUCAUCCUACAGUCAAAAUAUUUUGCAUGUCUUCCCGAAUGAACAUGUGUGUAUAAUAUUACAGCUUCGCAAUCAUGAAAAUGGGGUGUGAACAUGUGCUAUUGCGCCGUUUCGCCGAUAAGUGUCGCUGUUUCUUUUUCAACGUCUACACCAUCCGUCAGCCGACCUUUCAUUCCGCUUACACCUAGGAUGUAGAUUUAUACUGUUAAACCCUGCAAAGCCUGUUAUGACCCAAAUGUACGAGUUAAAAGUGGACGAAAUGAAAUAAAUAAAUAAAUAACAAGAUGAAAAAUAUCAGUACUAAGAAAAUGGAACUCACUGAAAUAUUGCCUUCAGGGUUGAAUUCCAGAUGGACUUUUUGUUAAUUUAACACUGGGGAUAUUUCUAUGCAGUCUCAGAAUAACCACAUAACAAUACUACUUCAAUGUUUUGAAAUAAAAAAACACGCGAUUUAUAACGUGCAGGAUGCAAUAAACACACACACACACACACACACACACACACACACACACACACACACACGCACACACACACACACACACACACACACACACACGGGAAUGCUUUGAUUUAACUAAACGGAGCUCUCUCGUCCGUUCUUAAAAGAAUUCUAGGAAUCAAACAGGAUCCUACAUUCACUUCAUAACAGAUGAAAUCUCCCAAAACUCAAUCAACUACUUUACUGUAGCUCGCUUGAUAUCAAAAAUUAUAUCAAAAACAUGUGCUUUAUGUUGGCACGUUUUAAAGCUAUUUUCACUUUCGUUAAUCUGUCGUAUAUUUAUCAACUAACUAGAAUAAUUUUCUAACUUGGUUUUCUAAAAUAAGAAGAGAUAUUUUAAAAAAUAUGAAGGAGAACAAUUUUUUACUUGGCAACCUCCCCCCCACAGAUAACAGUAAAUUAACGACACCUGUCAAAAGAACAAUGACUUAAAAUGAACGAGCUGUGAAAAAAGCUAUUUUUCGAGAGUAAUCUAUUAUUAUUAUUAUUAUUAUUAUUAUUAUUAUUAUUAUUAUUAUUAUUAUUAUUAUUAUUAUCUAGUUUCAGUUCCAGUCUAUAAGAUACAAUGUAUAGGCCUACCUAAAACCAGUUUUUAUGUUUUAUUCCUAUACUACUACUACUACUACUAUUAAUAAUAAUAAUAAUAAUAAUAAUAAUAAUAAUAAUAAUAAUAAUAAUAAUAAUAAUAUUUUACAUUGAUUUAUAUUUUUGCAUCAAAAGGAACAGUGGGUUCGUUUCUCAUUUUCUGUUUUUAUCCAGAAACAGUACCUAAAACUUGAAAUUUCGUUCACUUUCGUUCAGAAUCUAGGACAUCAACUGCCUCUUCUAUAAUAACCAAUGAAUACGACGAUUAAUCUAGUCAUUAUUGUAGAGAUUAUGACAAUUUAAUAUUAUUAUUAUUUACUACAGCAUUAUAUGUCAGCUUUGAGAGAAAAACUUGGACCUAAAAACCAAGACAAUUUUGACAGCUGAGAAUAAACUGCAAUUAAACAACAACCAAAGAAUUAAAAAAAAAAAACCUAUGUCGUGUAAAAUUAUAAGGCAAAACAGCACGCUGAGGUCAGUGACGUCAAGACGCACGCAUACACAUGGCUGAACGGAGGUAGUCAGCCAAUCAGAGCUUCCCUUGCGCUGUGGUUUGACGUGUUGAGAAUGCGCCACAUAGCAACGGUUUCUGCGCGCGCACCUUGUGGAUGCGGAACUGAGAGCGCGCGUUUCCGAGGCAACGUAACUCAUCCCGGCGCUUUAUUUCACAAACCUGCCGGUUCAGGUACAGAUGUGGCGCUGGUUUUGGGCUCUAAUCCUGCCCUCAGUACACUCUGACUUAAUAUCGGACAGCUUAUCUGCAUCAAAGGAUAAUCUUUCUUGACUCGCCUCGUCUGUGACUCAGAGCAAAGCAGCAAUAAGGUGAAAAUGUGUGAUCAAUGUGGAGCACGGCCUGAGAUGCUGAAAGUCAAGGCCAAAAACACAAAGCAAGAGUACAGCGUUUGGGAGUUAUGAGUGUUGUUCAGAGCCGCUCCCUGGAUGGUGUGUUUCAGAUCUGUAGCCCUGACCCAGUGCAGGAUGAAAACCAUGACGUCAAUGAUAUUUUACUGUCAAUGACUGCUUAAAGAAUUUAGCUUUUGCCCCUUUAAUACUGGUGAGUAUUUCAAUAAGGUAAGUUUCUGAUCAUAAUUUAACAGCAUAAAUAAAAAAAAUGCUGUGAUACUGCAUUCAUAUAAACUUUUCUGUUUGUUUGUUUGUUUGUUUAUUGGCACCUAGAGUAUAAAAAUAAACUUUGGGUUGCAGGUUUCUCAUCUAAAAAAUGUUUUUCGCUCUUUUUUUUUUUUUUUUACUAUAUUGUAACAUUUUUUUCAGUUGCAACAAGUACAUUUUUCCCAUUGGUAUGGUUUUGAUUGUAUCUAACCUGUAUGAUGUAUAGCACACUAUGGAAAUCUGAAACAUUUAUACACUUAAUAGAGUACUAUACAGCUACAGAUGACGAUAUCAUUUGCAGGCAUAUUUGCAUUUUUAAGAACAAACAUACAAGACGAAAAAGCACAACCUGCUCGUACAAAGCAUGAUAUCCUUAUAGCCAUACGUUAAUUAUAGCAUAAUCUCUGAUAUUUCUUGAAGCUGUAUACUAUUGUAUGAAUACUGUAAUAAUAAAUGAAUUAUGCAGAAUGAAUGAACAAUAAAAGUGAAACCUGAAUUUUUUCUGUGUUGUGUGUGUUUUUUAACUUACGUUUGUCCAAUACAAUAUAAAACUGUUUCUCAUUAUUAUUGACGGGGAUACAUAAAUAAAUGUUUAUUUCCAUGGGUAAACAAAUUAAUAUACACUACCGAUGAAAAGUUUAGACACACUCAUUCUUUAUUUUAAUUUGAAUUUUUCCACAUUUUAAAAUAAUAAUAAAGUCAUCAAAACUCUGGAGUAACACAAAUAGGAACUAUGGGAAUUAUGUUGUGAUAAAAAUAGAAUAAAUACAAAUAAUUUAAUAUUUGAGCAUCUUUAAAGAUGCCCUUUUUGCCUAGAAUCUCCAGAAAUGUAUUCUUGGCAUUUUCUCAACCGAUUUCUUGAGGAAUUUCCCAGAGAUGCGUUUUAACCAGUAUUAAAGGAGUUCACACCUACGCUGGACACUUAUUGGCUGCUUUCCGGAAUAUUUCGCUCCAAGUCAUCCAUUUAAACAAAAUAUAAUUUGUAAAUAAAAUGUUAGUUUUCUAAUGAAAGAAAUUAAUAUGUUGGCACAAUUAUAAUGUUGUCUACAACACCGAUUUCAAACAUUUAAUCAUACCUUCCGAUCAAAAGGUUUGUAAGCUCAUGAGAAACAUUUAAGUCAAGUGUCUUGAAACUUUUGACUUGUAGUGUAUUUUGCUUAAUUAAUGAUUUUGAUGUUUGUGUCUGUUUCUGCAUAACAUUACAGGCUCAUUAAUAUACAAAUGCAUUCAAAAGACAUUAUUAAGAUUUCAGUGCAUUUUUAAAGGAGAUUUUAAAAUGUUUUAUUUUAUGUGAAAUGUUUUGUCCUGUUUGAAAUUUUUACGAAUUAGAAAAUAUAUAUUUAUGCAUAAACCUAUGUAGGUUUGAUGACGUUUUGUGUAUAGAUGAAUCGUAUAAAAGAAAAUCAUAAUGCACUAAAGGACUGAUGUGCACCAAGUGUAAUGUUUUUUAAAUAAAGAGUUCUCAAGCUGACACAUUUGUACAAAGUAGCUGGACAUGAAGAUACACACACACAUACACACACACACACACACACACACACACACACACACACACACACACACACACACCCCCUUCUGACCUGUUUCAGUGGCAAUCGUGCUUUCUACGGUGUUUCCUCUACAGAAGCUGCCUCGGUGCCCUGCAGCACACACUCCAAUGCUCACACUCAAACCUGCCCCUUGUGUCCAAACCCCCCCACAUCCACUCUCAACCUGUGUCUCGCUAACACAUCCUGACCCAGGAGCGUGGCUCUGGCCUGAAAACAUGGAGCAGGAGAGAUUAUCCUCCGCGGGCCUGGGUCAGUGGAGAGUGGAGGGGAGUUUGGGCCACCCACGGAGCGUCCAGUGGGCCGUGAGAUGGCCUGAUACACGUGCUUACCAAGCAUGGGAGAUUCUCUUACUCUCAGCAGCAUAAAGCCACACAGCACUGGCCUUUUCUUCAUCAUGGCCCGGGAGAUUAGGGCUGAAACACUCAGCCCACAAUCACACACGCACACACACACCCCUCCCCUAGGUUAUCCUUUGCACAGAUAUGGAGCGCUGAACAGAUCAGUCUGGACACAUCUUUCACUAUUCUUUAGUAAUUCUGCCACAUGGUUUUACUGUCUGCUAGAAGGAAGGGAGGGGCAGGUGAGAAUGUCUCACAUAUUAGCACCAUACUAUUAGCAAGGCUAGCUCACAGUGGUAAUGUCAGGCAACAGAAAGAAGUAUCAUCAUGAUAAUUUGAACCUAUUUUGAAGCUUUUUUUUUCCCCAUUGAUGCAUCUGUAGAAACCUUUUUCUGCUGAUGAACCCCAAAUAAGAAUCACAAGCUCACCAAAAAUGACUAAUGAUAACAUCACAAAGUUUGCCCCCCCCCCCCCCCCCAUAAGAGCAUUUCUUCUUCUCUUAAUAAUUAUAAUCACACAAUUAUUAUGUUAGACAAUUAUUUUAUCAUGACAUAUUCCUUAAAUGCAUAUUUGUGAGAUCCCAGACAUGGUUUAAACUGGAUAAUAUGUCACAUAACCUGACAUCUAGAGGUACAAUUCUUUCAUUUAAGCACGUUAUGAGAGAAAAUAACAAGAAGAAGUGUGUAAUAUUAGAGUGGGGUUAUAUAAUAGUGUCUGAACAUUAAGCUUAUGAAAUCAAUUUGUUCCUGUUUAUUCAGUCUAAAAUUUUGACUUAAAUAUAUAUCAAUAAAAUGCAAUAAAUAAAGUUUCAUGGUUGCACUUACAGAAAUGCAGUUGUUUAAAGAGAAGGUAAAUUUCCAUCUCUGCUGAAAAUGCACUGAUGACUUAAUAUAGCAACAAUAAAGCAGAUAAAAUGUUUAUUUUUAAAACAUAAUGAAAAUCAAAAAUAUUGGCAUUAUAUCUUGCCAUUUUUACAAUUGUCUCAUAUUCACAAAUGAUAGACUGACCAGCAGGAUAAACAUUUUCUUGUUUAUUUUCCUGGGUGAUGUAGACAUUCAAAUGAAUAGAAAAUAUUGUUGACCAUCUUGAGGACAUUAUUCAUGACGGGUUUUCAUUCUGGAGAGAAAGAAAUGGCUAAGGGCAAAUUGUUGUUUUUGGACUUUUUGCACCAUGAAGUCAAAAUGUAACAUGAAUAUGAUUUUAAACAUAUCCAUGAAAUUAUGAAGCAUUAAUCCCACAGUGUAUUUGAAAAAAGAAAGAAAGAAAAAAAAAGGUCACUGGAUAUAUUAUAGUGGUCUGAAACAGAAAGUUUUACAUAUUUAAGAAGUUUGAUUAUCUGAAGCAUUAUGCUAAUGUUUCAUUCAUUAUUGAAGUCUAAAGAUGACAGGUGUAGAUAUAAACAUAGUCUAUUUUUUUUAACUUAAAUAAUUCUAGAAAUAAAAAAAAUGAAGUUCAAAUGUGUGUGAUUUUGAUAUUUUUUAAUCUUAAACUUUUAAUCUUUAUAUGGUAUUUCUAUAUGAUAGUUAACAUCAAUAUAUGAAUAUGAAUUUUAACAUCAACCAUACAAACAAACAAACAAACAA
ensembl:lncRNA